AACGAACGCUGGCGGCAUGCCUAACACAUGCAAGUCGAACGAGACCUUCGGGUCUUGUGGCGCACGGGUGCGUAACGCGUGGGAACCUGCCCUUAGGUUCGGAAUAACUCCCCGAAAGGGGUGCUCAUACCGGAUAAUGUCUUCGGACCAAAGAUUUAUCGCCUUUGGAUGGGCCCGCGUUGGAUUAGCUAGUUGGUAGGGUAAAAGCCUACCAAGGCGACGAUCCAUAGCUGGUCUGAGAGGAUGAUCAGCCACGCUGGGACUGAGACACGGCCCAGACUCCGACGGGAGGCAGCAGUGGGGAAUAUUGGACAAUGGGCGAAAGCCUGAUCAAGCAAUGCCGCGUGAGUGAUGAAGGCCUUAGGGUUGUAAAGCUCUUUUACCCGGGAUGAUAAUGACAGUACCGGGAGAAUAAGCUCCGGCUAACUCCGUG
rnacentral:rRNA from 1 species